UACGUAGGGUGCGAGCGUUAAUCGGAAUUACUGGGCGUAAAGCGUGCGUAGGCGGUGAUGUAAGUCAGAUGUGAAAUCCCCGGGCUCAACCUGGGAACUGCAUUUGUGACUGCAUCGCUGGAGUGCGGCAGAGGGGGAUGGAAUUCCGCGUGUAGCAGUGAAAUGCGUAGAUAUGCGGAGGAACACCGAUGGCGAAGGCAAUCCCCUGGGCCGGCACUGACGCUCAUGCACGAAAGCGUGGGGAGCAAACAGG
rnacentral:rRNA from 1 species